rnacentral:rRNA from 1 species
CCUACGGGUGGCAGCAGUGAGGAAUAUUGGUCAAUGGACGAGAGUCUGAACCAGCCAAGUAGCGUGAAGGAUGACUGCCCUAUGGGUUGUAAACUUCUUUUAUAUGGGAAUAAAAUGUUCCACGUGUGGGGUUUUGUAUGUACCAUAUGAACAAGGAUCGGCUAACCCCGGCCCAGCAGCAGCGGUAAUACGGGGGGUCCGAGCGUUAUCCGGAUUUAUUGGGUUUAAAGGGAGCGUAGGUGGAUGGUUAAGUCAGUUGUGAAAGUUUGGGGCUCAACCGUAAAAUUGCAGUUGAAACUGGCAGUCUUGAGUACAGGAGAGGUGGGCGGAAUUCGUGGUGUAGCGGUGAAAUGCUUAGAUAUCACGAAGAACUCCGAUUGCGAAGGCAGCUCACUGGACUGCAACUGACACUGAGGCGCGAAAGUGUGGGUAUCAAACAGGAUUAGAUACCCGUGUAGUC